UCCCGGGACCUUCUGGGAAUUGUAGUAUGGCCUCUCCUGGAGCGCGGGCUCCUUGGCAGGUUCUCACGCCUGCGCUCUGAGGCUCCUCCUCCGGCCUCUGCCUGCCGCCGUCUGGUGGCGGAAAAUGAGGUUGGAGCCCAGGUUACGCUACUAUGUAGCCGCCUGGGAGCGUCUGGAGAUAAAUAGGGCCCCGCUCACAUGCAGAAAGCGAAGGGCCUUGUUGAAACGCCCUGCAGGAGGAUUGCAGAGGAGAGACCGACAGGAACUAAUGCCGAGGGAAGGGAGAGCAUUGUGCUCCGCAGCAAGAAUAUACCGUGGUCAGUUCUGGUGGACGUGGCUCUUGUCCACAAUGAGAUAUUCAAACCAGUUCCAACUGUUCAGUGAUGGAGAGAGCCGUCUCCACCGCAGGGAGGAUGGUGGGAGCUGAGUGUGGGCCCCAACAUAGCGUUCUUACUCUUUCCGUUGCUGUUUGCUCGCAUUGUUUUCUUUCUCAUUUUUCUCCUUUUUGAUCUGAUUUUUCUUAUGCAGUGAGAUAAUUGUAGAAAUAUGUAUACGUAUAUGGGAUUUUACAUAUGUUUUAACAUGUUUAACAUAUAUUGGAUUGCUUGCCAUCUAUGGGGAGGAAAAGGGGGAGAAAUUUGGAACACAAAGUUUUACAAGAGUCGAUGUUGAAAAAUUAUCCAUGCAUAUGUUUUGAAAAUAAAAGUUUUAAUAAAACCAAAAGAA